GCAACAAAGCUUUCAGGAGGCCGCCUCAAAACCAGUACCGCUACAAAAGCAAAAAGCCUGCAAGCUAUCAGAGAAACUCAAGUUACAGUCCCGAACAAGAAGUACCCAACAGAGAAAAAAUAAAUAUGAUUCAUGUGAGACAUGAAAGAUAUUUGUAUUUUGAUAAUGAUUGACAACACUACUGCUGUAUCGUACAUCGAUUCUUUAGGAGGGCCGAAGAUGUUUUAACUCAUCCUACCAGGCAGGUCAGGGAGUUGCCCAAAAUGAAGUUACUAGCUGUUAUGGUGUCGGGCAAGGUAGCUCUACAGACAGAUUUUCAAAACAGGCUAAAAGACAUUUUGUUAUCCUCAUGGAGAGAUUCCACAAAGGACCAAUACUCUAGCCACAUUAAGCAAUGGUUCCGGCAUUGCACUCAAAGAUCUGUGGAUCCGUUUUCUCCCUCUAUAGAAGAGAUUAUUGAAUAUUUGACUUUCUUAUUUCAUAAAGGACUAAGUUAUAGUUCGUUAAAUUGCACAAGAAGUGCUUUAUCUAGUUUU